rnacentral:rRNA from 1 species
GACGAACCGUGCGAACGUUAUUCGGAAUCACUGGGCUUAAAGCGCGUGUAGGCGGGGCGGCACGUCGGUCGCUGAAAUCCCCCGGCUCAACCGGGGAAGGGGCGCCGAUACGACCGGCCUGGAGGGACGUAGGGGGGGCUGGAACUUCCGGUGGAGCGGUGAAAUGCGUUGAGAUCGGAAGGAACGCCCGUGGCGAAAGCGAGCCCCUGGACGUCUACUGACGCUGAGACGCGAAAGCCAGGGGGGCGAACGGG